rnacentral:rRNA from 1 species
CAGCAGCCACGGGAAUACGAAGGGUGCAAGCGUUAAUCGGAAUUACUGGGCGUAAAGCGUGCGUAGGCGGUGAGUUAAGUCUGCUGUGAAAUCCCCGGGCUCAACCUGGGAAUGGCAGUGGAUACUGGCUCGCUAGAGUGUGUCAGAGGAUGGUGGAAUUCCCGGUGUAGCGGUGAAAUGCGUAGAGAUCGGGAGGAACAUCAGUGGCGAAGGCGGCCAUCUGGGACAACACUGACGCUGAGGCACGAAAGCGUGGGGAGCAAACAGGAUUAGAUACCCGCGUAGUCCCUGUCUCUUAUAA